rnacentral:rRNA from 1 species
UAGGGAAUCUCCACAAUGGGCGAAAGCCUGAUGGAGCAACGCCGCGUGUGUGAUGAAGGGUUUCGGCUCGUAAAACACUGUUGUAAGAGAAGAAUGACAUUGAGAGUAACUGUUCAAUGUGUGACGGUAUCUUACCAGAAAGGAACGGCUAAAUACGUGCCAC